GUAAGUGUAUUAUAUCUCGUCUGUUGGAUGAUCUGUAGCUUGCUCCAGGGAUUACCUCGCGAGGUUCCGAGAUGAGAUGUUCGAAGAGAACCGAAUUGUUAGCGCUGAUCGUGUGGUUGCUUGUCUCUACGGCUUAUGUGAAACAUGUCCUGCUUCAAGCGAUAAAGAUCUGCUAGUUGAAGAAAAAGACAUUAUUUAUGCACCUAUUAAGAGCUGUCUGAACGUCGAUAAGCAAAGAAAUAUUAUGCUCAGUCAGUGCUAUCACAAGCAAGAAAUCCUACGUAGAUAUCCGCUCGAGAUCAUCCUUAUGUGUUCCAUAUGUCCGACAGCGCCACUUACGAUACCAAUGACAGAUAUGUUCAUUAACAAAGCCCGCAAAAACAAUGUGAAAUUAACGAGAGCAGUUAACGUAAAAGUAUUCACUUCGAUGGGCAUUUAUUUUACUUUAUGAUUCGUGUACAGAAACGUUGACACUGGCAAAAUUUGCAUAGUCCACCUUAGUGCAUCUAUGCCCAUAGAACUUUCAUGACUGCCUGUGACUUGAUUAAGUGCAGCAAUGUCGUUGAUCAGUGGCCAGUAUAUAGCUCGUUAUGGCGUAGCAACGGUAGGAGGCCUUAUCAGCACGCUGCUUCACACAUUCACCUUUUAUAGAAUGGAAGUACCAUCGUACUACAACGUUCUCGCAGAGACACCUGGUGUAUUGACAGCUAACUUAAAUAAUGGUAGUUUCCCUUAGGAAAACUUCUUCGUGCGGAAGCCCUUAUCACCAUAUUACGUACCAGUGGUAUGCAGAUAUCGCACUUAGACUAUUAUAUUAUAAACUAUAUACAUGGUCAUGUUAAUAUCGUUGGGCGGUGUUAAAAUUUCGGACACACGAACAAUAUUACCAGGUGGUCUACUCGUUUUCAUGACAUCGGUAUACACCAACAUCACGAUGUUCUGCCCUGCGGAAUGUCGUAAAGGCCGCUUCCUGAUGAUUCAGUUCUUCGUGUGAGUGCUAUCAGCGCAGGAGGCUAUCUCUAUGCGAGAAUUAAUAUUUUGCACAUGUCGGCUGGAGUCAGCAUCAUCUUCGUUGUGGCACUCGUCCUUUUGCUGGCCGUUUUUCAAGAUUUAGAUAUAUUUGGGGACAUAAAAAAGGACAACUCGCGUACAGUGAUAGAACACUCGAUAGGACCGCAGGUGUUAAAACAAAGCUUUAUCGUGAUUGGUUUCAUGGGUUGUACAGGUAAUUAUCUUCUAACAACACCUAGAACAGGCUUAUUUUGGUCAAAUGUUUGUUGUCUACUUAUUUUUCUACUUGAAAAAUGGGACAGUUGUAAAUAUAUAGCUAAGUGUCUUUACGAUAAAGAAAAGUUCAUGAGAUCCGUAAUGAUUCCAAAAAAUAUAUCUUACAUUUCAGACGCCCCUUAAUCUCACUUGUGCUAAACAAACGUGCCUAGAAAAUUGGUAAACCAGUCGAUACCCAGUAUGAAACUGUAAUGCUUCUGUUGAGAUAUAUAAAAAAAAAGGAAAGAUCACUGAUUCCUUUAGAGUUUCUCACAUAUAAUGUAAGCCCAGUGGGUUCCAGUACUGGCAAUUAGAAAACUGAUAAACUGAAUUAUUCAGAAUUGCCUCAGGAGAAUGAUAAUAAGUAUUGUAUAUACUCUAUUUACGUGGAUAAACUUUGAUGCCAUGUUAAUAUUACAGGUGCAGCCGAUCUUGAAUACGUUUACGUUAACUUGCUAUACGGAUGGGAAGUCGAGCAGUAGACUUUUGUGAGCUCCCUUUCGAUAACUGUCGUUUUUCUCCUCUCGCCCCCCAACAUGCUCUUGUUUACAAAAGCGCUCAAGUUAUCCGAUCCGAUGAUGAUAGCCAUAGGGUUACGUGCUUCGGUUUAAAGUGUCUUAUUUUUUCGAUGCUCUUCCUCGACAUCAGUGCGUGUUAUGUUCGUAAGUAGGUAAUCUGUCUAGUCUGUUUAAUAUUCUCGCGAGUGUCAUUGCCUCCGCUUAUUGAACUCGUAGUACAAAGCUGAGAGGAACUUCGAUAAACGAGAGUAACAAACGUUUUUCUUAUAGUAAUAUAUAUAUAUAUAUAUAUAUAUGUUUUUCUUCGUUGACGUCAUAUAUGAGCUUCGUUCCUUUUUUUUACGAGUACGAGACAUUUUAAAUGUUACGUAACUGUCUUUCGGUCGCAUAUUAUAAUUCAUAGUGCUGUAUCACUACAUAGCGAAUCGUAAGUGAUACAAACAGCAAAUGCGAGAAUUUAGACCAUUUUACCGCAGCAUUUUGUAGAAUACAUACGAGAAACUUACGGAGUUGUAAGUUGGGAGGGUGGUCAAAAAAGAACACGACCGCUGCAUUAUUUAUCCUAAAGAUGGAUGCUAAAAUCUGUUCGUUCUUCUACAUUUAACCAUCCCAUGUAGUUAUGUAUCGUAUUUGGUUUAUUUGCUCUAUACCUUCAGCAGCGCUAUUUGUCACUUUGUUUCAUUAACCGUCGCCAUUUUGUUUCAGUAACUUUUAUCGGAGUUCCGUUCAUCGUAUCAGUGACUGGUGUCCGAGCGCACAUGUAGCCUCUUCUACAAUCGAAUGAAGUCUAACGUCAGCUUUCGAACGACCUGUGCCUAUCGGUACGGACGCUGUGACGACGGUUAUCUGCAGCAAGUCGAUCGACUUCUUUCCUGGGCUCGUUUUUGCUGUUCAGGGAAUAAUCUUCUUUAUUCCUGUUGUACUGGCAGCGUAGGUGACGAGUUGAGAAGGCGGGCAAACAUUUAAAUUGUUAUUACGUAUUAUUACAUUUUCCAUGCAUCAUGUGGAUGUAACAUUGGACGUCACAUUUAAAAAACAAUCCAACAGAUGCACUUCUAUGCUAAAGGUCAGAAUAUGAUGUCGUAAUUCAUUUGAACGACGUACCUAAGCAUCAAUAGAUAACAUAAUGUAAUGUUCGUACAAGAAUUUGCCAUGUGGAGAUUGUUCUUUCUAACUGUUUUGUACCAUUCGGUCUAUUUACCUUUAGGCUUCCCUGGGUACUAGUCACUCGAAAAGGCCAGAACCUUGACAGAAAAACAGGCGGAGACAACAUUAAUUUCUCAGAGGUUAAAUAUUGAGCGUAACUGCGACAUAUUGCCGUAUACAAGGACAGCAUCCGUAUAUAUGUACAUACACACUGGCCAAUGCAUUCUAGGAACUGUAAAAACGCGCAAACAAACAGGACAAAUCAAAUUUAUUGGACCUUUGACCCAUUAGUAUUACUAACUUAGAUUUUGAUAAAUGUGUUUCGAAGUAAGUAAACUAUAUAUAAAAUUCUGUUUAGAUGAAGGCGGAAACUAUUUUUUAUUCGAUUUAGCCCGUAUACAAUUUUUAGCUAGCUUGAUUAUUAUCUUAUCUUUAUAUAACACUAUACUUAUCAUUAUUAGAUAAAUGUAGUUAGUGUGUUCUAUCGUUUUGUUGCAUGAUCCAGCCGGUAUACGAAUAGGGUCUAAGGCUCUGUUUACGUUCCGUCUCGAGAGACAAAUAAUUUAAAUGAACACACAGUCAAGUGUAUUUUCUGCAAAGACACAUUUUAAUGGAAUUUGUCAUAUUAAUAUAUAAGUCUUUUUCCUUACCGCCAUCAUUGUUUGUAUUCUGUUCGUUACCAUCGACAUGAGAAUUUUUCAGCUUCCACAUUUCAUUUUGUGCGACGAGCCUAUUUAAUUACAUGAAUCGUCGCAGCUUUUGCUUCUAAAUGAUCUCCUUAUUUAUAUGUUUCUGUCCAAAAUAUCUCUUCAUCCACACUCGUUUCAACUUCCAUAGAAUGGCUCUCUAAUCUUAUAUUUCGCUUGACCUAUGUCUUUUUCUUAAUUUAUUCAGUGUCUCCCAAUGUUUACAUAUAUAAUGCGUGCGCACCAAUUUGGCUUUUGCCUCACAUUUAUGGGAGCUCCAAGUUCUUAGCGUGCGGUGCCGUGCUUAUCGUUAUAAGGACAACUUAUCGAUUAAAUCAAAACGAUCUGGCAAAUGUUUUUCAGUAUGGAAUCAGAACUACUAAUAAUUAUCCCAAACUAUUGUGAUAUCCUUUAUUCUUUAUAGAUCAAUCACAAAACGACAUUAAGUACAAUAAUAAAAUAAACACAGCUUCGUUUCGGCUUCUGGAAAUCAUAGAAAAAUCUCUGCUGGAACUGGUAAUCGAAUUGACACUUAGCAGCACGGAUCUCUUUCCUUUUCCUAUUGUAAUGAUUUUCGCUGAUACAUCAUCAUAUUACGACACUGUGCUACAUAAUAUAUAUAUCGCCUUUUUUUGUAUUAUGUCUUCCUUCGAUUGAUCGGAUAUGCCAAUGCCAUUUUUCCACGUUGAGAAUUCUAUUUCAGAUUGAUCGUGCUUACAACAGCGUUCGCUCGCUAUCAGAAACAAAUUAGACACCGGACUCUAUAGAUAGAGUCCAAUGUUAGAUUAACUUCCACCAAAGCCCCAUUCUCCUACCCCGUCGUAGUGUCCACUCCUUAUUAUAUAAUAUAAUUAUGCUUCUGACUGUACCGCCUGUAUAUUAUUAUGUGACGACCGUCGUGCGAAAAAUGUGAAUUUUCCACGAUCUUUUGUCUUCCUCUUAAUGUAUAGCGCUCCAUUUUACCCAGAUCAGACAUCCUAACCUUUUCACGUUUAGCCAGUCUCCGCCAGUGCAUCUCUCCAAUCGCGUUUGUAAUAAAACCGAUCGGUCUGUCCACUGGCGUGCAUAGCCGCCAAGAACGGAAGCAUUACAGGUUAGGUGGAUGAAAGAACAUCAUGGGCUAUAUAUAUUACAGCUGCAUUUUUUUUAUUGGCUUGUGUAUUUCAUUCAGUUGUUGAGGAACAGAAAACCUGAAUAAUAACUUUUUUUUAUAGCUUCGCGUUGAAAUUGCUCUGUAUAAUUUGCCGCUCUAUGCGAUUUUUUUACACCAAUAGUUCCCUUUGACUAGCAAAUUACGUUUCGCCCUUAGAACCGUUCGGGGAAGCCUUCUAGAUGCUGCUCCUUGGAUCCUAGCGUAUGUGUACGUUCCUUUCAGUACCGUUCUAUUCUGCCCCCUUUUCUUUUUGUUUAGGAUAACCAACGGCGUGGUUUGUCAUCAUACAUUUGAUAAUACCUACUUCUAACUCGCACUGAUGGCGAUCUCCUAGACUCAUAUGUAAAUUAUCGGUUACUUCUACAUCACUCAAUAGGGACCAGCACGGUUCCCCUUUGCUGAGUCACACAACGUUUCGUGUCACAUCGCACAGUCUCUGCUAUAACACUGUUUUCGUUCGUUACUUUCUACUAGGGUCACAAUCGCGCACACAAAGCCCUGAGCGCACUAGGAAAUCACUCGCGUUUUCGUAUCACGUAAUAACUGUUUUACGGCAAAUAAAAAAAAUUAGAAUUAGAUAUCUAUUUUUUCUGUUUUAUUUCUCUUUUCCACUUAUUUAUAUUUUUAUUAGUCGUUUUUCCCCGCAGAGGUUUGUUUCCCUGUCCCUUGUGGACUUACUAUUUUCGUACUCACUUCUGGAUUUGUCGUCCAUGCACCUCAUACGAAAGCACUGGUUCACAGGAGACCAUUGCUUUUUCUGUUUUGUUUCAGCUUAAUUGACGGAUUUGUCAUUAACCUCUUUAGAUUGUUCCACGGCUGCAUAGGUUGUUGCUGUGUUGUCAUAGUUAGUUUUCGCCCGUGACUGCUUGUCGUUUCGAAGGUUCUGACAAACAAACAAUCUAGACGUACUUUUCAGGCUUACUUUCCAGUGGACUGUUUCUUUCGUGGCACUUAUGGCCCCUGUAACAGGUGCCGCCUCUGUUGACUGGCUUCGUGUAGAUAUAUGCAAACGGCAUAACAGAUACCCACCUCCAACAGAUCUUAACAUUCGAGUCGUUCGCGUAUAGUUUUAUAUUAGCUCGUAUUUAAUUGAAACGUAUCUUUAGUGCAACGGUUAAAGAACGACUUGCUAAAAUGGCUUUUCUCAGCGAAAUUGACCGAGCACAUUGGCUUAGUCACACUUUAGAGUAAUAAUCUCGCACAAAACAAAUUAUAUUUGAAAUCAACGCUGUUUUGUAGAAACAUCACAAAGAUAAUAAGUGUAUAAUCAACAAUAGUGAUAUUUACCAAUCAUGUCAUCAACGUCAUAGGAAUAAUAUCACCCAUGCGAUUCCUUGUUCUAUUGAUCGACACCGUUUAAACAUCUGAGGUUUAUUAGAAAUUCGGCCUAAGAUUAGAUCGAUCUAACUAAAACCUUGAAAAACCACAUCUGUUUAUCUCCGUGUUGCACCGCAAUUAUAUCCAUUUAUCUCCCCGUACCAUAAAGGCAUUUUUUGUUCGAAACGUAACAUAUAUAACUCACAGGAAGCAAGCCUCUCCUAGCGAUAGAUAAUUGAUAAAACGAUUAAGACAAUAAGCAAGGAACGAGCGGAAUACGUUGACACAAUGGCACUGUCAUCGCUGUUACAGUAUAAAAUUGUCGACGCAUGAGAACUUCCUGGCUCUAAAGAGGCCCGAUGCGAUCGGGUUAGAAAUUAAAUCAUUAAGCUUAUUUUGACCCGAUUCGGCACUUGCAAUACAC